AGCCGAUGAUGAUCAUUUAACAUUUCUGACACCUCGUAUGAGUGCUGUUAAUGCAGUACUUGAUUACGUUUUAACUCUGAGGCUC